UACGUAGGGGGCAAGCGUUGUCCGGAUUUAUUGGGCGUAAAGAGCGUGUAGGCGGCCAAACAGGUCAGCUGUGAAAACUCGAGGCUCAACCUCGAGACGUCGGUUGAAACCGUUUGGCUAGAGUCCGGAAGAGGAGAGUGGAAUUCCCGGUGUAGCGGUGAAAUGCGCAGAUAUCGGGAAGAACACCCGUGGCGAAGGCGGCUCUCUGGGACAGUACGUGACGCUGAGACGCGAAAGCG
rnacentral:rRNA from 1 species